AUACGAAGGGUGCGAGCGUUAAUCGGAAUUACUGGGCGUAAAGCGCGCGUAGGCGGUUGGAUAAGUCGGAUGUGAAAGCCCCGGGCUCAACCUGGGAAUUGCAUUCGAAACUGUCCGGCUGGAGUAUGGUAGAGGGAAGCGGAAUUCCACAUGUAGCGGUGAAAUGCGUAGAUAUGUGGAGGAACACCAGUGGCGAAGGCGGCUUCCUGGACCAAUACUGACGCUGAGGUGCGAAAGCGUGGGGAGCAAACAGGAUUAGAAACCCUAGUAGUCC
rnacentral:rRNA from 1 species